UACAGAGGGUGCAAGCGUUAAUCGGAUUUACUGGGCGUAAAGCGCGCGUAGGCGGCUAAUUAAGUCAAAUGUGAAAUCCCCGAGCUUAACUUGGGAAUUGCAUUCGAUACUGGUUAGCUAGAGUGUGGGAGAGGAUGGUAGAAUUCCAGGUGUAGCGGUGAAAUGCGUAGAGAUCGGGAGGAACACCCGUGGCGAAGGCGGCUCACUGGGCUGACCUUGACGCUGAGGCGCGAAGGCGUGGGGAGCAAACAGG
rnacentral:rRNA from 1 species